rnacentral:rRNA from 1 species
GUCUGCAUCGUGUUUGGGAUUGAUCUUUGCAAUUCUAGAUCAUGAACGAGGAAUGCCUAGUAUGCGCAAGUCAUCAGCUUGUGCAGAUUACGUCCCUGCCCUUUGUACACACCGCCCGUCGCUCCUACCGAUCGAGUGAUCCGGUGAAUUAUUCGG